AGCCGUGAUUUUUCUCAGUGGAUUUUUUCACUUUGUCUUGCAGGUGGGUGAUGGGUGACGGUGGCAGAACAGGUUCUACAGAAAUGUCUGGCAUCCCUUGUUCCCAAGCUUUGAAGCCUCUGCCAAAUACAUAGAGACGUCACAUUUAACAUCCUGUUACAAAGGCGUAGAAUGAGUGGGUGUGAGCUAAGGAUUUUGCGCCGGACUGGCACACGGGGAUCAACGAAUGGGGAUGAAAAUGCUAUCAAUCUGAGCUCCCAAUGCUUCAAGGAGACACCUAAAGAAGAGGAGAGUUAAGUUUUUCUGUCCCACUGCCUCCCAGAGGUGGUAAUUGACCAACCCCGCAGAACACAGAUGGGAAAGAUGUCCCAUACUCUUACCCUCUAAAUGGAAGAUUGGAAAAGAAUAUCGAGAGAGGGAAAAGAAGUGGAUACAUACGAGCUAUGGGUGUAAAGGCCCUGGCUGGAACUUUUUGCCAAAAGGAUGGUGGAGAGGUAGCUGCAAGUAGGAUUCUUUGGGGGAAGUCAAUCCAAAGUGGGUUGGAAGAACGAGGCCCGCAACAAGCAGGUCUGAAAGUCGCUUCUCCUCUCCACACCUCUGAAUCCACAUCAGGAAAAUAAGAAGAUUGGAGCCCACCUUCUCAUGGCCCUUCCAGCCCCAACAAGUGUUUCUUUGGACACACCAUGGUAGGCUCGUCCAUUUCCCCCUUGUUGGGUUUUGUCCGGGUCAAGAACUGAAGUGUACCUGCUCUGUUGUUAACAUGAUGUGUUGUUAUUGAUCCAGGUGAACCGAAAAGCUGAUAAAAUGCCUGACCGAUGGCAUCCAACUUCACAGACAACUGACAAGUUUUACAAGUUCAACAGGUUCUGUUUUGAAUGGCUUCUACAAGAUGGAGGUGGAGGAGAAUGUUGGCCUGAUGAGAAAAUGAACUUUUUCUCAAAAGCUCAUGCUCAGAAAUUGUUCUAUGUUACGGCGUUCAUUUUCUAGCUCCUGGGCUGAC